UACGGAGGUUGCAAGCGUUAAUCGGAAUUACUGGGCGUAAAGCGCACGUAGGUGGGUUUGUAAGUCGGAUGUGAAAGCCCCGGGCUCAACCUGGGAAUUGCAUUUGAUACUGUGUGACUAGAGUAUUGGAGAGGGAAGUGGAAUUUCCGGUGUAGCGGUGAAAUGCGUAGAUAUCGGAAGGAACACCAGUGGCGAAGGCGACUUUCUGGGCCAAUACUGACACUGAGGUGCGAAAGCGUGGGUAGCAAACAGG
rnacentral:rRNA from 1 species